AAGCCAUGCGAGUUAAAUGUUCUUCGUGAACAUAGCAGACUGCUCAGUAACACGUGGAUAACCUGCCCUUAGGACUGGCAUAACCCCGGGAAACUGGGGAUAAUGCCGGAUAGAUCAUAAAUGCUGGAAUGCUUUAUGAUUGAAAGGUUUCGACCGCCUUAGGAUGGAUCUGCGGCCUAUCAGGUUGUAGUGGGUGUAAUGUACCUACUAGCCUACGACGGGUACGGGUUGUGGAAGCAAGAGCCCGGAGAUGGAUUCUGAGACAUGAAUCCAGGCCCUACGGGGCGCAGCAGGCGCGAAAACUUUACAAUGCGGGAAACCGUGAUAAGGGAACACUGAGUGCUAGCAUUUAUGUUAGCUGUCCACAUGUGUAAAUAGCAUGUGAUAGCAAGGGCUGGGCAAGACCGGUGCCAGCCGCCGCGGUAACACCGGCAGCCCGAGUGGUGAUCACUAUUAUUGGGUCUAAAGGGUCCGUAGCCGGUUUAAUCAGUCUUCUGGGAAAUCUAAUCGCUUAACUAUUAGGCUUCCAGGGGAUACUGUUAGACUUGGGACCGGGAGAGGUAAGAGGUACUGCAGGGGUAGGAGUGAAAUCUUGUAAUCCCUGUGAGACCACCAGUGGCGAAGGCGUCUUACCAGAACGGGUCCGACGGUGAGGGACGAAAGCUGGGGGCACGAACCGGAUUAGAUACCCGGGUAGUCCCAGCUGUAAACGAUGCUCGUUAGGUGUCAGGAACGGUGCGACUGUUUCUGGUGCCGAAGGGAAGCCGUGAAACGAGCCACCUGGGAAG
rnacentral:rRNA from 1 species